rnacentral:rRNA from 1 species
CCCUUAGAUGUUCUGGGCCGCACACGCGCUACACUGAAGGAGGCAGCGUGUACUCCUGGAUCGAAAGAUUUGGGUAACCCGCGAAUCUCCUUCGUGCUAGGGAUUGAGGUUUGCAAUUACCCUUCAUGAACGAGGAAUUCCCAGUAAGUGCAAGUCAUAAGCUUGCGCUGACUACGUCCCUGCCCUUUGUACACACCGCCCGUCGCUACUACCGAUUGAAUGAUUUAGUGAGGACUUCGGACUGGGACCGAUGCGGCUUUCGGGCUGCGUCGGUAUUCUGGAAAGAUGUCCAAACUGUAUCAUUUAGAGGAAGUAAAANUCGUAACA